AUAAUGGGUCAGCGACUUAUAUUCUGUAGCAAGGUUAACCGAAUAGGGGAGCCGAAGGGAAACCGAGUCUUAACUGGGCGUUAAGUUGCAGGGUAUAGACCCGAAACCCGGUGAUCUAGCCAUGGGCAGGUUGAAGGUUGGGUAACACUAACUGGAGGACCGAACCGACUAAUGUUGAAAAAUUAGCGGAUGACUUGUGGCUGGGGGUGAAAGGCCAAUCAAACCGGGAGAUAGCUGGUUCUCCCCGAAAGCUAUUUAGGUAGCGCCUCGUGAAUUCAUCUCCGGGGGUAGAGCACUGUUUCGGCAAGGGGGUCAUCCCGACUUACCAACCCGAUGCAAACUGCGAAUACCGGAGAAUGUUAUCACGGGAGACACACGGCGGGUGCUAACGUCCGUCGUGAAGAGGGAAACAACCCAGACCGCCAGCUAAGGUCCCAAAGUCAUGGUUAAGUGGGAAACGAUGUGGGAAGGCCCAGACAGCCAGGAUGUUGGCUUAGAAGCAGCCAUCAUUUAAAGAAAGCGUAAUAGCUCACUGGUCGAGUCGGCCUGCGCGGAAGAUGUAACGGGGCUAAACCAUGCACCGAAGCUGCGGCAGCGACGCUGAUGCGUUGUUGGGUAGGGGAGCGUUCUGUAAGCCUGCGAAGGUGUGCUGUGAGGCAUGCUGGAGGUAUCAGAAGUGCGAAUGCUGACAUAAGUAACGAUAAAGCGGGUGAAAAGCCCGCUCGCCGGAAGACCAAGGGUUCCUGUCCAACGUUAAUCGGGGCAGGGUGAGUCGACCCCUAAGGCGAGGCCGAAAGGCGUAGUCGAUGGGAAACAGGUUAAUAUUCCUGUACUUGGUGUUACUGCGAAGGGGGGACGGAGAAGGCUAUGUUGGCCGGGCGACGGUUGUCCCGGUUUAAGCGUGUAGGCUGGUUUUCCAGGCAAAUCCGGAAAAUCAAGGCUGAGGCGUGAUGACGAGGCACUGCGGUGCUGAAGCAACAAAUGCCCUGCUUCCAGGAAAAGCCUCUAAGCAUCAGGUAACAUCAAAUCGUACCCCAAACCGACACAGGUGGUCAGGUAGAGAAUACCAAGGCGCUUGAGAGAACUCGGGUGAAGGAACUAGGCAAAAUGGUGCCGUAACUUCGGGAGAAGGCACGCUGAUAUGUAGGUGAAGUCCCUCGCGGAUGGAGCUGAAAUCAGUCGAAGAUACCAGCUGGCUGCAACUGUUUAUUAAAAACACAGCACUGUGCAAACACGAAAGUGGACGUAUACGGUGUGACGCCUGCCCGGUGCCGGAAGGUUAAUUGAUGGGGUUAGCGCAAGCGAAGCUCUUGAUCGAAGCCCCGGUAAACGGCGGCCGUAACUAUAACGGUCCUAAGGUAGCGAAAUUCCUUGUCGGGUAAGUUCCGACCUGCACGAAUGGCGUAAUGAUGGCCAGGCUGUCUCCACCCGAGACUCAGUGAAAUUGAACUCGCUGUGAAGAUGCAGUGUACCCGCGGCAAGACGGAAAGACCCCGUGAACCUUUACUAUAGCUUGACACUGAACAUUGAGCCUUGAUGUGUAGGAUAGGUGGGAGGCUUUGAAGUGUGGACGCCAGUCUGCAUGGAGCCGACCUUGAAAUACCACCCUUUAAUGUUUGAUGUUCUAACGUUGACCCGUAAUCCGGGUUGCGGACAGUGUCUGGUGGGUAGUUUGACUGGGGCGGUCUCCUCCUAAAGAGUAACGGAGGAGCACGAAGGUUGGCUAAUCCUGGUCGGACAUCAGGAGGUUAGUGCAAUGGCAUAAGCCAGCUUGACUGCGAGCGUGACGGCGCGAGCAGGUGCGAAAGCAGGUCAUAGUGAUCCGGUGGUUCUGAAUGGAAGGGCCAUCGCUCAACGGAUAAAAGGUACUCCGGGGAUAACAGGCUGAUACCGCCCAAGAGUUCAUAUCGACGGCGGUGUUUGGCACCUCGAUGUCGGCUCAUCACAUCCUGGGGCUGAAGUAGGUCCCAAGGGUAUGGCUGUUCGCCAUUUAAAGUGGUACGCGAGCUGGGUUUAGAACGUCGUGAGACAGUUCGGUCCCUAUCUGCCGUGGGCGCUGGAGAACUGAGGGGGGCUGCUCCUAGUACGAGAGGACCGGAGUGGACGCAUCACUGGUGUUCGGGUUGUCAUGCCAAUGGCACUGCCCGGUAGCUAAAUGCGGAAGAGAUAAGUGCUGAAAGCAUCUAAGCACGAAACUUGCCCCGAGAUGAGUUCUCCCUGACUCCUUGAGAGUCCUGAAGGAACGUUGAAGACGACGACGUUGAUAGGCCGGGUGUGUAAGCGCAGCGAUGCGUUGAGCUAACCGGUACUAAUGAACCGUGAG
rnacentral:rRNA from 1 species